rfam:Gossypium arboreum cultivar AKA8401 contig_13392_3, whole genome shotgun sequence.
AACCCAUGGUGAGGGCAAAUUCUCAGUAAAUACUUGUAUCUCUUCCAUGCAUCGUAAAGUGUUUCUAAAUCCAUCUGUACAAAAGAAGAGAUAUCAUUACGCAAUUU